GCCACUGCCCUGUGAGCUGUUUCUGCCUUAUUCUGCUUGCAUCUGAGCUGCUGAGCCUGGUUGGAGGAAACCACAACCGAGCAGACUGGGUUCCUUUGAAACUCCUGAUCUCAGAUCUCAGGAGGAGUCCCGAUACUGCCUGACCAUCUGGCCACACUUCUCAUUCUGGUGUCAGAAGUGGAGACCCCCGAUGGACCCUUUGAGCCCCUAGGAGACCCCUUAGGAGCAACAAGCAAUGAGCAGGCAGAAGGGAAUGGCUCAUUCCACAUCUAUACAAGUGAAGAGCUCUGGAAACCCUUGGAUGCCCUGGAAAGAGCUACAUAGAUUGCAAAGCAGUAGCAAGAUUCUUAAUUCUUAACGUGCACAGAGUUGACUGACCAAAUUAACCCAUGGUCUUAAUUUUUGUAGAACAUACUGAUGAUACCCCUUGCCCACAUAGGCUGGGUUUUAGUAUACACACUCACAUUUGCUCCCACCAGAUCUGUUAGU